GGAAAAACAAGCACGAUGGGAACUGGAACUGAUAAAAUCACAAGGCUGUAAUGGCUGGUACUUAGGCAAUAUCUGAUUGGAUAAGUCUUUAUAAUUUGCAUUCUUCUUUACAACUGUCGUGCAUAGCUUGAUAUAAACAAUGUGUUGUGAUUUGUGAUAUCUUAAGUUGGUUUUAAUAACCCUAAUGGAUCUCAAAUUAUCAGAAAGUAAGAUAGUAGUGUUAAUAGUAGGACUCUUAGAAAACAAAGCAUAUCUUUUACCUCAUUAUUUACUAGAACUUUGAUAUUUGUGGUUUUCAUUUUCUAAUAUCAAUUAAUGAUGCUCUACAUAUACAAACCAGGAUUUAAUAUUGAAUUUUUUUGGAAUAACUUCUCAUUUUUCUUCAUUGAAUUUGAA
rnacentral:misc_RNA from 1 species